UUUUUCCCCCAACCCGACCUGUUCUAAGGUACCUUGGUUAGCUGCUAGCAGGUCGGGUAAGGGGAGCCCUUCACUAUCAUCAGUGGACGGGGCACAGAUGGCAGUCACGUCCUCGGAGCGCUCGAAGUACGGUUUCAACAUUUUUACAUGAAAGGCUUGUCUGAUCCUUUCAUCUGAACAUUUGGCUACAAUAUAGGUGGUGUCGCUAAUCCGUUCCACCACUUUAAAUAGCCCCUGC